UCCCAGGUGGUCCAGUGGCCAGGGCACCCUGUUUGCAAUGCAGGGGGCAUGGGUUUGAUCCCUAGUCAGGGAG
rnacentral:tRNA from 1 species